UAAGACGAACCGUCCAAACGUUACUCGGAAUUACUGGGCUUAAAGGGUGCGUAGGCUGCGCGGAAAGUUGGGUGUGAAAGCCCUCAGCUCAACUGGGGAAUUGCAUUCAAAACUACCGUGCUCGAGGGAGACAGAGGUAAGCGGAACUCAAGGUGGAGCGGUGAAAUGCGUUGAUAUCUUGAGGAACACCGGUGGCGAAAGCGGCUUACUGGGUCUCUUCUGACGCUGAGGCACGAAAGCUAAGGUAGCAAACGGG
rnacentral:rRNA from 1 species